rnacentral:tRNA from 1 species
AAGAAAGCAUAGUAUGUGGUUAACUUGAAAUUAAUAGAUGGCAGAUUUAAGCUCUGCCUUUUCUCG